rnacentral:tRNA from 1 species
GCCCUGGUAGCUCAACGGAUAGAGCGACGGUCUACGAAGCCGGUGCGUGCAGGUUCGAAUCCUGCUCGGGGCA